AUGUAGGGGAGACCGAGGGGUUUUGAAACAGAGGUGAGAUGAAACAGUCCCGAUUUCUCGAAACCUAAAACCGUUAGCGAUUUGGCAUCGUCGCUUUUCAACCACCUCCCGCCACCCGCUAUCGAGUUAGUUCGCGCCGGUGGCGUCAGUGGUGCGGUUGUGUAGUUCUGAGUGACAUGUGCCGAAAAUCGCAAAAUCAUGCCUACUGAUUAUAAACGAAAGACCGACAGAGGUAUGGCGAGUCGCGAGAUUUACGAUCUCGCUGCUGAAGAAGUCACUUUUUUUGUUGAUUUUACCGUUAUUUUAAUUAAUGUUAAGAAUAGGGCAAUUUUUACUAACUUAGGAGUUAAUUAUUUGUAUUAGACCUGUAGUUAUUAUAAAUACAUUGUUUAAAAAAGGUAAAAAAGGUCAUUCUUACUUGAAAAGUUUUUAUAUUUUUGUAUUUGUCAUUUGUGAGAUAAUUGUAAGCUGAAUAAUUCAAGAAAUAUUGUUUAAGACUGAUUGUAAUACUUAAAAAAAUGACUGAUAGUUAAUAAUUAUUAUAUGUCAAAGAUUUAGUUACUUAUCUAGGAAUGUAAAACAUUUUGUUGAUUCGACUGAAAGAGUUUAUUAUUUUUAUUUGUGUUAGACCUACUUGACUGAUAUGUCAUUAAAACAUUACUAAAAAAGAUCGUUGAUUA